CGGGGGAUAACUAUUGGAAACGAUAGCUAAUACCGCAUAAAAAGUCGAUAUCGCAUGAUGUUGACUUGAAAGGUGCAAUUGCAUCACUAAGAGAUGGACCUGCGUUGUAUUAGCUAGUUGGUGAGGUAACGGCUCACCAAGGCGACGAUACAUAGCCGACCUGAGAGGGUGAUCGGCCACACUGGGACUGAGACACGGCCCAGACUCCUACGGGAGGCAGCAUG
rnacentral:rRNA from 1 species